UUGGGAGUGGAGGCUGAGCAAACAGCAGGCUUCACCCCCCAGCCCAGGAACCCGGAGCCUCUCAGGCCCUGUGUCUAGGCAAUGAGCGCCUUCCUACUCCGGACCCCCAGCCCCGGCCACGACCCGCACCCAGCCGAGCCGCCUGGCUUCCUCCAGCCCAGCCUCCUGCCCUGAGAAAUGGAAGCCAAGGACACAGCUGUUCCAGGCACCCUUCCCAAAGCGACUCCGGUCGGUCAGCCGACUGAGAAGGUCCCACGUGCCAGGAAUCAGACUGCCGCCCUUCCUCUCACAGAUGUAAGCUUACCAACAUCGGUACGAGGCCGCCUUCGGGGUCAGGUGUGUGCUGCGACUUUGACACAGGUUUUCUCACUCAACGCAACAGUCAGGCACUAGGGUUAUCCCCACUUUACAGAUGUGAAACUGAGGAUCAGCACGUCGGUUGUCUUGGCCAACAAAAACCAGUACUCCGUGAUUGGAGCCCGUCUGUCCAUGGCCCGUGCUCCCUCCUACACCACUUUCUUGAAAUGAGAUUUUUAAAACAGCCCUGGUUCCUGCUCAUUUCCUGUUAGGAGCAGCUUUGCGUUAGAAAGAGUAGCUUUGGCCCGUGUCCCACCACAAGGGACCCCAAUCCUGCCCCUCUGGUCUAACACCUGUCAUCGCUCCUGACACCCGUGUCAGAGAGGAAAACCAAAGAACCCACCGCAGUUACGGUAAUACCCCAAGACGGCCAUCACCAUGCCUUCCGCACUCAGCAGGGAGAGAGAGGCAGUGAGCUCAUUGCCAUGGUGUUGAGCUAGGGCUGAGGCUGUUCUCCUCUGGGUCCGCUGGCCCCGUAGCUCUGCGGGAGGGUUGGGGCAGCAACCCACCAGGUGGAAGAGAUGGUGCUACUUCCCUUCUGGACGAGACUGACGCAUGCAGAGUGGGGCAGGGCAAGCCUUCCUCUCCAGGAUGGCAGCGGGGCUGGGAGGGUGCCCUCGUCACAGCCACCAGGUGGCCCUGUUCUGUGCCCCUUAAGAUGGCCCCCACUAAGCCUCGACUCCCGGUAUUCACACCCCUGUGUAGUCCUCCCUACAAUGAACGGGGCUGACCUAUGUGAACAGCAGGAUAUAGCAAAAGUGGCAGGCGAUGACUUCUGAGGCCAGGUCAUAACGGGAUCAUUCUCUCUGGGGGAAGUCAGCUGCCAUGUCACGAGGACACUCCAGCAGCCCCAGGGAGAAGCCCACGGAGCAAGGAACUGAGGCCUCCUGCCAACAGCCAGCACCAAUUUUUCAUUCGUGUGAGUGAGCCAGCAUGGAUGCAGAUGCUCCAGCCUCCGUCAAGCCUUCAGAUGAGCCUGCUGCUCAGAUUUCUGUUCAGGUGUCACCUCCUCCAAGAAGUCCUCUUGAACACUCCAGAGCUAAUCACUCCGUCCUCGAUGCUGUUGCUGAACCUUCCACGCACCCGUUUGUAGAGUGGUUAUAAACAUGGUCCUGAAUCAAAAAUGGGCUCCCAGACCUGCCACUCACCACCGGUAGGAUCUUGGCAAAGCGGCACCUCACUGUCCACAUCUGUAAAAUGCAGACGAUUCCUACCUCAGCACUAGAGGGAGGGUCAAAUGAGACCGAGUCUGUGGACGCUGUGAAUUCCAUCCUGACUCGGGAUCCAUCUCAUAGACGGGCCCCUGGAGACCAGGCUGUAUGGGGAGCGAGGCCGGCACUGAGCAGAGGGGCUUGGGGAGGGAACUGACAUACCUGGAGCACCUGCCUGUGCCAGGCGCUGGGCUAGACUCUGUAUCUCUAUGACUUAACCUAAUCUUUGCAACAAGAGCUGAGCAUCCUCAGCCACCUUUUCACACAUUUAGAAAGUGAAGCUCAGGAAGUUCAUGGCUUGCCUAGUGUCACACCGGGGAUGGAGGCGGGAUCUGAACCCCUUGUCUGUUGAACUCCAAAGGCUUCCAGCUCUGGCACUGAGUCUGUGCAGACCCAGCUGGGAGGUCCUGGGCCCAGGACAGUUCUCCAGUCCUCAGGAGGGCAGCAAAGUGAGGGUUAGUCAGCCUGGCCCAUGGUGGACUAUCCCCUCCUUUGUAUUGGGUGAUAGACUUCUAGUAAUACAACCCAAGAAGACCAUGGCUUUGCGGUUUCCUCUUCCCAGUUGUGGAAUCAGUUCAAUCCUGCUUACCUCCAGGUCAAAACAGGACACCUUCCCCCACCCUGAGCCCACCCUGCACAUCAUACCUUGAAAUUAACUUGCAAUUGCUGUGAGCUCUGAUUCACCCCCAACCUCCAACUGGCGCCAACAUAAGGAUUGCAUGAGCCAACAGCUCAUGGCUCAUGGUGCUGGAUGAAGGGUGUGGAGCGGGGUGAGGGUGCUGUUCCCUUUCUGGGGGGUAAUUUCCUUUUGUUGCUCAGCUCAGCUCAGCAGCCACCCGCCUCCACCCUCCCUGGCUAAUUAGUCGCCUGAUUUCCAUCAGCCUGAUUAGGUCCAUUUGAGCCACCACCCCACCCUGAGCAGCAGGAAGUUGACUCCAGUUAAGAGAGGAAGCGGCUGACUUAGGGAAGUGGAGGGGGUACAGGGCAGGGGAGGGAGGGAUGAACGGAACUGUUGGCGGGGGGAAGCAGAGAGAAAUCAAUGGGCUCCCUGGAAUUUUCAUCCCUUGGAAGCCACGCAGCACAAGUUUUAUCACUUGAUAAACAUUUAGUGAGCACCUACUGUGUACCACCUCUGUUCUCGACACGGCAGCGAACAAGACAGCCGAGGUUGCCGCCUGUCCUCCUGGGGCUCUAGAUAAACACGUUCUAGAUAAACAAGGAGAAAACACUGCUAUGAUGGAAAAUAACAUCUGACCUCCCUCCUGUUAGAGUCUCACGGAGUUUUGGAGCCAGCUCUCGUGCCCCCUCUGCUCGUCUCUUGCAGACAAAUGCCCCACGCUUCCCUCGUCCCCUCCUCACGUGGCACACCCUUUAUUAUCGCAUGUCACCUGCUUAGCACAGCGCUGCCCCAGCUCCCGACUGUUUGGUAUUAUUCUUUCACAGCAAAGAAAACUGAGUCACUCAGUGAGAGGGCGAUGGAGGUGGGGUUAGAGACCAGGUCUCCAGACCCCGGGUCCCAUGCUCUUCACACUGAACGUGGUGACGCGGUGAGACUGACAGCCAAGGUGAAGCUCUGUGUUUGGUGGACCCAUCAAGAGCCACAUGGGUAUUUAUCCAAAGAACUUGAAAUCAACAAUCAAAGAGACUCAUGCACCCCCAUGUUCAUUGUAGCAUUGC